rnacentral:rRNA from 1 species
UACAGAGGGUGCGAGCGUUAAUCGGAAUUACUGGGCGUAAAGCGUGCGUAGACGGCUAUCUAAGUCGGGUGUGAAAGCCCCGGGCUCAACCUGGGAAUUGCAUUCGAGACUGAAUAGCUAGGGUACGGUAGAGGGAAGCGGAAUUUCCGGUGUAGCGGUGAAAUGCGUAGAUAUCGGAAGGAACAUCAGUGGCGAAAGCGGCUUCCUGGACCAGUACCGACGUCAGGCACGAAAGCGUGGGGAGCAAAGCAGG